AACUAACGCUGGCGGCAUGCCUAACACAUGCAAGUCGAACGAGACCUUCGGGUCUAGUGGCGCACGGGUGCGUAACGCGUGGGAACCUGCCUUUAGGUUCGGAAUAACUCAGAGAAAUUUGAGCUAAUACCGGAUAAUGUCUUCGGACCAAAGAUUUAUCGCCUUUAGAUGGGCCCGCGUUGGAUUAGCUAGUUGGUGGGUAAAGGCCUACCAAGGCGACGAUCCAUAGCUGGUCUGAGAGGAUGAUCAGCCACACUGGGACUGAGACACGGCCCAGACUCCUACGGGAGGCAGCAGUGGGAAUAUUGGACAAUGGGCGAAAGCCUGAUCCAGCAAUGCCGCGUGAGUGAUGAAGGCCUUAGGGUUGUAAAAGGCUCUUUUACCCGAGAUGAUAAUGACAGUAUCGGGAGAAUAAGCUCCGGCUAACUCCGUGCCAGCAGCCGCGGUAAU
rnacentral:rRNA from 1 species